AAACAAGUUGUCACAACCGUUUAUCCCUGACAGACCGUAUCAUUACAAGUUCAUCAGUUACUAACUGCAUUUGUACAAGAUCAUUGUAUACGUGUCUCCCAGCUAAUCGAUGCAGCGUGGUGGAAACAACAGGAGGCCCCGGGCCCCCCGGUACAACCAGGACCAAGCCAGGCGGCAGAAUUUUACUGUCAAAGCUUUCCCAGGUAUUCCACGUGAGGGUGUCCAAAACUACUCAGAGACCAACACAAAAAGUGAGCUUAUUCAACAACUGCAUGAGGUGACAGAGGAGCUGGCCCUUGAGAAGAGCCUGAAGGAGAUGGAGAAAGCCAGGCGUGAAGAAAUGGAGAGACUCUGGAGGGCUGGUGAACCAGAGACGAUGAACACCUUUGGGAUUGCCAGUGGGGUUUGCAGCACCCUCAAAACCAAGAAGGAGAAGGAACUUCAAAUGGAAUUUGAGAACCUGCAAAUGUCUCAUAUAAUCAGGGAGCAGAAAUUCUCAGCGGAGAUCCAGCUCGAGAGAGAGAGAAAUGCAGCUCUCCGUGAAGAACUUAAACAUCUUCAGACCAACUGGAGCCAUGAAGAGGAUUUAAAGAUGAAACUCAAGAUGUCCAAGGAUCUGGCAGCCAGAAAGCAGCUAAUGGUAACCAAGGAUGAUCUGCUUCGCCACAUGAAGGUGAAGAUCCAGACUCUGAAGGACAACGCCUCUGAGAUGGAGAAGACCUUUGUUAAAGACAUUGAGGACUUGAAACACCAACAGCUCUCAAGCAACCUGGAGCAUGACACCAAGCUCCACGCUGAGGAGGAGGUCAGUCAGGGCCUCAGAACGGAACUCUGCAGACUCCUAGAAGAGCAGGAGGAAAACAUCAGAAAGAAGGAAGCUCUUGAAAAGGAGGUAGUAGCAUUGCAGGACAACAUCAACACCAUGAAGGACAAUGCCACUGAGAUGGAGAAGAGCUUUCUUAAACAUGUUGAGGACUUCAAACACCAACAGGUCUCAAGCAACCUGGAGCAUGCCACCAAGCUCCACGCUGAAGAGGAAGUCAAUCAGGGCCUGAGAAUGGAACUCUGCAGACUCCAAGAAGAGCAGGAGGACAACAUCAGAGAGAAGGAAGCUCUUGAAAAGGAGGUGGUGGCAUUGCAGGACAACAUCAACGUCAGCCACAAUCUCCAGACUGACCUUGAGGAGGUGAAAGAAGAGAACCGAGUCAAUACCAGGGAACAAGAGGAGUGUGCCGUCCACGACUCACCAACCAAGGCCUAAUGUGAUUGGAUGUACCACUGUUUCCCCUAAAGGAAUAAUAUAGAUAUAUAUAAAUACAUUUAAUUGAAAUGAAAGCUGUAAGGGUCCUUUCUACUCCGCAUGUCGGGGCACCGGCCGGACAGCUAGAAACGCAGCCAAGAACUCAGUAUCAUCUGGAGCAUUAUCAAGCUACGUGUAAACAGAGAAAAAUAGAAGGACCAUGUUUAUGCAGAUUUCUCACCCAUCUCACUCUCGAAUUGCACACACAAGAUUGAGAUUGCAAGAGUUGGAGUCUCUGGAACUUUAAGCUGCCACGUUGUCUUGAUGUCUGAUGUUCCGAGCCAUCCUUCCUGAUCUGAAACAAGACUUGCUGAUUAACCGACAGGCGCUCAUUUCUAGCUCUCUCAGAUGCCGCUGAUUUCCCCCCCCAACAUCCAUCCGAGUCAUUGGUCCCAGAUUUCUAUUAGAGGGAAAAUGACACACAUGACGAGGCUCAACUCCUCGGAUAAAAAAAUCUAAAUAAGCACUUUAAUCGAUUCAAACGGAAGGGUUUGAU
ensembl:lncRNA